GGAAAGUUAGCUCAGACGGUUAGAGGAUGGUGCUGAUUACACCAAGGUCACGGGUUCAAUCCCCGUUUGGUCCC
rnacentral:tRNA from 1 species